rnacentral:rRNA from 1 species
CAGCCGCCGCGGGAAUACGUAGGGUGCGAGCGUUAAUCGGAAUUACUGGGCGUAAAGCGAGCGCAGACGGUUAUUUAAGCAGGAUGUGAAAUCCCCGGGCUUAACCUGGGAACUGCGUUCUGAACUGGAUAGCUAGAGUGUGUCAGAGGGGGGUAGAACUCCACGUGUAGCAGUGAAAUGCGUAGAGAUGUGGAGGAAUACCGAUGGCGAAGGCAGCCCCCUGGGAUAGCACUGACGUUCAUGCCCGAAAGCGUGGGUAGCAAACAGGAUUAGAUACCCGUGUAGUCCCUGUCUCUUAUAA